rnacentral:lncRNA from 1 species
CUGACCUCGUGAUCCGCCCGCCUCGGCCUCCCAAAGUGCUGGGAUUACAGGCGUGAGCCACCGCGCCUGGCCGGGGGAGUUUUUUUUAAACAAAAUUCUGGGGACCAUUGUUUUGGACUAAGCUCAUGCACUAGGCCCCAACAGACCAAACCAAACAAAACGGAGUUGCUUGUGUGUUAAGAAAACACAUAGGUUCUAGAACAAACCAGAUUUUGUUUUUUUUCCUGCUGCAAAUCUUUGUAACAAACAUUUUUGAUAGCAUAGGUAUCCACCCCAUGAAGUUCACAAUCUUUUAACCAAAUUCAUUUCCUCUUGCCUAGAGACCAUCAAGCUUCACAUCAUCAUGCAACAAAGGUUCCAGCCAGUUCCAGGUGAAGACACCACCCCUGGCCAUCAAGAAGCUACCUUGCCUUCACCAGACAGAGCAGGAAUUUUUGAGUUGGGUGGAAGUAGUGACUAUAUGAAGCAACUACCACUGAAGGACCAGAAAAGAAUAACGACAAUAUUAAAGAAAACAGCCAUCUUGGAGUCCAGUUAUAUUUUAAUAAAAGUGGCUAUAGCUGAUUUCCACUGUUCUUCAGUUAGUUUCCUGGCUGCUCACAAAGAUUUUCCUGCAUGCCACUGCUCUCCAGGAAUCUACCAACAUUCACGUAGACUUCUCAAUGAAUGGCACGGAAAGUUUCUUCUUAAGAAUAUGAAGACUGCACACAAAAGCAACUAGAGAAUAGACUACUGACAAUUCAAGGUAUCUGAACAUCAAUUUGUCUUGGAGGUUUUGCACACGUCAAACUCAGCUCUUACUGAACAGGUCAAUGAUACCAGUAUCACUGAGUGUCCAGUGGACUCUCACUGCAUUAUUUUAAUUCUAAAGUUUAUUUUAAACUUUACUGGGGUAUAACUGAAAUGCAAUAAACUACACAUACUUAAGGGCCAUAAUUUGUUGAGUUUUGACAUACUUAUACACUCUGAUAUGGUUUGGUUCUAUGUCCCCACACAAAUCUCAUCUCUCAUCUUGAAUUGUAAUCCCUACCUGUCAAAGGGGAGAAGUGAUUGGAUUAUGGGGGUGGUUUCCCCCAUGCUAUUCUCCUGAUAGUGAGAUCUGAUGGUUUUAUAAGCUUCUGGCAUUUUCUCUGCUUGCACUCACUUUCUCCUGUUGCCUUGUGAAGAAGGUGCCUGCUUCCCCUUUCACCUUCCACCAUGACUGUAAGUUUUCUGAGGCCUCCCCAGUAAUGCAGAACUAUGAGUCAAUUAAACUUCUUUCCUUUAUAAAUUACCCAGCCUCAGGUAGUGUUCUUUAUAGCAGUGUGACAAUGGACUAAUACAAACUCAUAAAACCAUUACUGCAAUCAGCACCAAAGGUUUUCAUACCCUCAUUUGUAAGCACUCCUGACCUGUCUUUUUCCACACCAGUUCCAGGACAAAUGGUGAUUUGUUUUCUGUGGCUAUAAAUUGGUUUACAUUUUGUAGAAUUUUAUAUAAAUGGGAUGACACAGUACAUUUUAAUUUUUGCUCUAGUUUGUAUCACUUAAUAAUAAUAAUUUCAACUUUCAUCCAUGUUGUUAAAUAUAUGAGUAGUUUAUACUUUUCUAUUGAAAAGUAUUAUUCCAUUUUAUGGAUAUACCAAAGUUUGCUUGCCCAUUCACUUGCUGGUGGACAUAUGGGUUGUUUCCAGUUUGGGGUUCUUAAAAGUAAAGCAUCUGUGAACAUGCAAAUACAGUCUUUGUGUGGACAUAUGUUAUUGUUUCUUUUCUGCUUCUAUUCUGUUUUCUAGAAGCAGAAUAGAUUGUAUGGUAGGUUUAUAUUUAUUUUCCUAAGAAACUGCCAAACUCUCUUUCAAACUGAUUGUACCAUUUUACAGUCCUACCAAUUCCAGUUUUAUUUCCUCCAUAUCUUUACCAACACCUGGAAUGGUGUUGUUUUAUUUUAGUCAUUCUAAAGAAGUAGUGUCUCAUUAUGAUUUUAUCUCACAUUUCCUUGAUUACAAAUGUUGUUGAAAAUCUUUUCAUAUACUUUUGGUAAUUCAUAUAUCUUCUUUUGUGAAGUGACUCUUCAAAUAUUUUACCUAUGUUUUAUUAUAUGUUUGUCUUAUUA